AUGAUGGACUAUAGGACAGGACUGCUGCUUCUAACUAUCUGCUGGACAGGUGUUGAUGGUCAGACUCUGACAGAAUCUGAACCAGCAGUUAAAAAACCUGGAGAAUCCCACAAACUGACCUGUACAACCUCUGGAUUCACAUUCAGUAGCUACCCUAUGAACUGGGUCAGACAGGCUCCUGGAAAAGGACUGGAGUGGAUUGCUUUUGUACACACAGGCAGUUCUCAUAUUUUUUACUCCCAGUCAGUCCAGGGUAGAUUCACCAUCUCCAGAGAUGACUCCAGCAGUAAGGUCUAUCUACAGAUGAACAGUUUGAAGACUGAGGACACAGCAGUGUAUUACUGCGCUAGAAGAGACACAAAUAAAUGUUACUUCAACAUCACCAGCAAACUCAGGGUAAAAUAUAAAGAGAAGUAUACACAGCUACCCCCUACUAAAGCAGUCUAA